ACAGCAAGCCGGUCUGUCGCUGACUGCUUCGGCAGUGGGAGGAAAGUCCGGACAACACAGAGCACCACACUUCCUAACGGGAAGAUACCCGCGAGGGUAUGCAAGGCGUAACAGAGAAUAACCGCCACGCUUGUCGUGGUAAGGGUGAAAAGGUGGGGUAAGAGCCCACCGGUACUGUGGGUGACCAUGGUAGCCGUACGUCCUGUGGGUUGCAAGACCAUGUAUAUUCCGGUUCCCCUUUGGGGUACAGGGUUGCUCGUCCUGGUGGCAACAGCCGGAAAGGGUAGGUCGCUAAAGGCAAGGGGUGACUCUUGCCGCAGAUUAAUGACAGGCACCGGCCUUGUGUCGGUACAGGAUCCGGCUUACAGGCUUGCUGUUUCA
rnacentral:RNase_P_RNA from 1 species